rnacentral:rRNA from 1 species
CUAGUUGAACCUGCGGAGGGAUCAUU